CACGUAGGGCGCAAGCGUUGUCCGGAAUUAUUGGGCGUAAAGAGCUCGUAGGCGGUCUGUCGCGUCGAAUGUGAAAGCCCAGGGCUCAACCCUGGGUCUGCAUUCGAUACGGGCAGACUAGAGUAUGGCAGGGGAGACUGGAAUUCCUGGUGUAGCGGUGAAAUGCGCAGAUAUCAGGAGGAACACCGGUGGCGAAGGCGGGUCUCUGGGCCAAAAACUGACGCUGAGGAGCGAAAGCGUGGGGAGCGAACAGG
rnacentral:rRNA from 1 species